rnacentral:rRNA from 1 species
UACAGAGGGUGCGAGCGUUAAUCGGAAUGACUGGGCGUAAAGGGCGCGUAGGCGGUUGCAUAAGUGAGGUGAUAAAGACAUGGGCUUAACCUAUGGGUGACGCCUUAGACUGUGCGACUAGAGACGAGGAGAGGGGAGUGGAAUUUCCGGAGGAGUGGUGAAAUACGUAGAUUUCGGAAGGAACACCGGAGGCGAAGGCGACUCUCUGGCCUUGUUCUGACGCUGAGGAGCGAAAGCGUGGGUAGCAAACAGG